UCCGUAGGGGGCUAGCGUUGUCCGGAAUCAUUGGGCGUAAAGAGCGUGUAGGCGGCCCGGUAAGUCCGCUGUAAAAGUCAAAGGCUCAACCUUUGAAUGUCAGUGGAUACUGCCGGGCUAGAGUCCGGAAGAGGCGAGUGGAACUCCUGGUGUAGCGGUGGAAUGCGCAGAUAUCAGGAAGAACACCAACGGCGAAGGCAGCUCGCUGGGACGGUACUGACGCUGAGACGCGAAAGCGUGGGGAGCGAACAGG
rnacentral:rRNA from 1 species